UACGUAGGGGCCUAGCGUUGUCCGGAAUCAUUGGGCGUAAAGCGCACGUAGGCGGCUUUGUAAGUUAGAGGUGAAAGCCCAGGGCUUAACCCUGGAAUUGCCUUUAAGACUGCAUCGCUAGAAUCGUGGAGAGGUGAGUGGAAUUCCGAGUGUAGAGGUGAAAUUCGUAGAUAUUCGGAAGAACACCAGUGGCGAAGGCGACUCACUGGACACGUAUUGACGCUGAGGUGCGAAAGCGUGGGGAGCAAACAGG
rnacentral:rRNA from 1 species